rnacentral:rRNA from 1 species
CGUGAGUGAUGAAGGAUUUCGGUCUGUAAAGCUCUGUUGUUUAUGACGAAGUGCAGUGUGUGAACAAUGCAUUGCAAUGACGGUAGUAAACGAGGAAGCCACGGCUAACUACGUGCCAGCAGCCGCGGUAAUACGUAGGUGGCGAGCGUUGUCCGGAAUUAUUGGGCGUAAAGAGCAUGUAGGCGGCUUAAUAAGUCGAGCGUGAAAAUGCGGGGCUCAACCCCGUAUGGCGCUGGAAACUGUUAGGCUUGAGUGCAGGAGAGGAAAGGGGAAUUCCCAGUGUAGCGGUGAAAUGCGUAGAUAUUGGGAGG